GACGAACGCUGGCGGCGUGCUUAACACAUGCAAGUCGAACGGAGGAUUUAUUUCGGUAAAUCCUUAGUGGCGAACGGGUGAGUAACGCGUGGGCAAUCUGCCCUUCAGAUGGGACAACAUCCCGAAAGGGGUGCUAAUACCGAAUACGAUCACGCUGCCGCAUGGCGGUGUGAUGAAAGAUGGCCUCUAUUUAUAAGCUAUCGCUGAAGGAUGAGCCUGCGUCUGAUUAGCUAGUUGGUGGGGUAACGGCCUACCAAGGCGAUGAUCAGUAGCCGGUCUGAGAGGAUGAACGGCCACAUUGGGGCUGAGACACGGCCCAAACUCCUACGGGAGGCAGCAGGGGGGAAUAUUCCGCAAUGGACGAAAGUCUGACGGAGCAACGCCGCGUGAGUGAUGAAGGUUUUCGGACUGUAAAGCUCUGUUGUUUAGGACGAAAGUGCCUGUUGCGAACAGUUACAGGUAUUGACGGUACUGAACGAGGAAGCCACGGCUAACUACGUGCCAGCAGCCGCCGUAA
rnacentral:rRNA from 1 species